UGGGGAAUAUUGGACAAUGGGCGCAAGCCUGAUCCAGCCAUGCCGCGUGAGUGAUGAAGGCCCUAGGGUUGUAAAGCUCUUUCACCGGUGAAGAUAAUGACGGUAACCGGAGAAGAAGCCCCGGCUAACUUCGUGCCAGCAGCCGCGGUAAUACGAAGGGGGCUAGCGUUGUUCGGAUUUACUGGGCGUAAAGCGCACGUAGGCGGACUUUUAAGUCAGGGGUGAAAUCCCGGGGCUCAACCCCGGAACUGCCUUUGAUACUGGAAGUCUUGAGUAUGGUAGAGGUGAGUGGAAUUCCGAGUGUAGAGGUGAAAGUCGUAGAUAUUCGGAGGAACACCAGUGGCGAAGGCGGCUCACUGGACCAUUACGGACGCUGAGGUGCGAAAGCGUGGGGAGCAAACAGG
rnacentral:rRNA from 1 species